AAAUAUAUUUAAUACAAAUAGAAUUAUUGCACUCAAUUGAUAAUAUAUUAAAAUAAAUCAAAUCAAACAAUAAAUCAACAUUUCAUAAAUAAUAACAAAAAUAUUAACAAUGCCUUGUUUAAAUAUUGCACUAAUAUAAUAAAUAUAAUGACUUCAUCUUCACAGGUUACUGGCAGAAAUCAUUCAUUUUGAUCUUGAAUAUGGGUAUGGCCUCAUGUAUUUCAAAUGGAAUGAAAAUUUAAGAUAUUUUCAAAAUACUUUGCUUUCAGCAAGUUCACCCAUUUAAACUAUUCUUAAUUAUAAUAAGUAAAUGCUACAGUGCACUCUGGAUGAAUUUUUUUGAUUCAAAAUGUUAACACAGUACAACAAAUUACCAUGGUAUCCAGCAAAUAUUGUAAUACACUAAAAAGGAACUUUAUAUUAAGGUAUUUUCCUGUUGAAAAAAUCCUACUAUAUUGAUAGCUAUAAAAAAGAUGAAAUAUAGAUUCCUACACU
rnacentral:lncRNA from 1 species